ACGGGAGGCAGCAGUGAGGAAUAUUGGUCAAUGGGCGAGAGCCUGAACCAGCCAAGUAGCGUGAAGGAUGACUGCCCUAUGGGUUGUAAACUUCUUUUGUUCGGGAAUAAAGGAGCCUACGCGUAGGCUUUUGCAUGUACCGUUCGAAUAAGCAUCGGCUAAUUCCGUGCCAGCAGCCGCGGUAAUACGGAAGAUGCGAGCGUUAUCCGGAUUUAUUGGGUUUAAAGGGAGCGUAGGCGGCCUUUUAAGCGUGUUGUGAAAUGUCCCGGCUCAACCGUGGCACUGCAGCGCGAACUGGAGGGCUUGAGUGCGCCGGAAGUAGGCGGAAUUCGUUGUGUAGCGGUGAAAUGCUUAGAUAUGACGAAGAACUCCGAUUGCGAAGGCAGCUUACUGUCGCGUAACUGACGCUGAAGCUCGAAAGUGCGGGUAUCGAACAGGAUUAGAUACCCUGGUA
rnacentral:rRNA from 1 species